CAAAUAAUGGAACUUCACAAAAAAUUACAUCUACAACCAUUUUUACUCUGUUACAAGAAACAUGGAAAACAAUAUAAAAUUUAGCUAUAUACAUAGCUGCAUACAUGCACACAGCCUCAGUUCUGAGUUCUGACAGUCUAACCUUUGUGGGGAUGGAAGUCAUGUAUGUUAAUGAUACAGCCUGUUCUAGAAGUGAUUCCCAUGACCAAUAGGGUUGAAAUGAUGAGGAUUAAGAUCACUAGCUAAACUCAGAUUUCCCAUAUCCAUAAACUGCACAAGUGGACAAUAUUGAUUUUUCAUCUGUUCUGUCUGGAUGAUUGUUUCUUGAUGUCAAACAACCUUAUGUACUGUGUUCAACUUUGGAUAUCUUCAUAUAUUUAUCUUUGGAAGCUCAGGUCCAAUGUCAACAAUAUGUUCUUCGUGGUGAGCAAACAAUGCCUGCAUAUAUGAAUUCUCUUAAUACAAAAAAUCAAGGAAACCCCUUCAUACAAACUUCAAUCAAUCAUUACAAAUUACCUCACUAACAAUUUAGAAAUACGGUACCUUAGUAAUUACUAACGCUCCUACAAUAAUUCUUCGAAAGCAUAUACUGGGAAAAGUCAUAUGUUGGCUUUAUAUAAAAAGGACGCAAAGGAAAACUGACAGAGUACUCAAGUUAAAGAUAAAUUCGUUCAGAUAGCAAGCAUCAUUUUUUCCGCCUCUAUGGAUCAAGUAAAUUUUCAAGCACUUUUAUGAAUAACGUAUAAAGAAAUUCAUAGUGCCUACACAGAGAUGUAGCUUUUGUUUGUCGGAAAUAAAUCUCCUUUUUGCAUAGACGGGUUUCACUAAUCGUUCCAAUUGACCACAGAUGGUGUUAAGUUGUGCAAUUUUCUUUCGUACACCAAAUUAUUUUCUAAGUACUAACUUGGGGACACAUCACCAGCAAUAUAGUUUUUCAGUAUUUACUACGCAGGAAGCUAAGAAAAUUAACUGCAAAGACUGUAACGACAUCUCCAACAAAUUUUCCAUGUAUCUCUAGCAAAUAACUUGGAACCCCAAGUGUAUUAUGACCAUUAUAUAGAUUGUAAACAUAAGUCAUGGAACCAGAUCUGAAAGGCUAUGUUUCAUAAACGACUAUUCAAUUACAGUCCACCAUCCAAAUUGGUUGUACUUAAAUUCUAAUCCUGACAAAGAUAUCUCAAUGCUCAAAUUCCACAGAUUGUUAUUAAAGCACUAAAACGUCACCACUACAAAAGUAAGUCUUAUUUUUGAGAUUGGCAAAAUAUAUAGAUGCAUAUCUAAAUUCUUUAACAGAGUUUAAUUACUAAGACCGCUGUUGUUUACAUACCUGUUAAGGAUACACAAGUUCGUCCAGGGAUCGAGUAGUAAGCAUUCAUGGAGUUGAUAUCCGUGGGUGGCCUAUGUAUUAAGUCCACUUAUGGGGUAUUAUGGGGAGGGGAAUCCUAGCUAGAAUUGAAAACUUAACACCACAUAUUUCUCUAUCGGUAAUGGAAGCAGAUGAAGUUUUGGGAGGAUAAGUGGUGUGCAGAAAAUCCUAUUAACAAGAUACUUUGAUUGCAACCUUCUAUGAUAGAUCUAUAGAGUAACUGCCAAACACUAAUGAACACCUGAUCAGAAAUGGAAAUUCUUGGCACUGGACUCUUGACACAGGGAGGAUAUUAAUCAAAUUUCUACCCUUGUAGGCUUGGUGACUGAGGUGCAGAUUACUGAAGAGGACGUUAAAGGAAGAUGUAAUCUUAGUCCGAGUAGGAGCAUCUCAACUAGUUCCUUCUAUAUUACAGGGCGCCAUUGUCAAUGUGACGGUGACCAAGGAGACUGCCUUCCCUAGAAAAGUCGUUUACAGAAUUCGUUUCCCUUUUAAAUAAAGAUUGGCUAAACUAUCGAGUUAUGUAACAAAGUAGGGUCGAAUUCCUAACUUAUGCAACCAACUAAAUUAGGUUUAAAAUCAUCAGCAAACUUUUAAGUUUUUGCAAUUUAGGCAAUGCCGUUAACAAUCCCUUAACAGACGUUAGAUUUUGCUGACUGUAUUGUUUUUUUUAUUUUUUAUUGCUGACUGUGUAAUAAAUUAUUGUUGACUGUAUUUUUUUAAUUUUUUUUACUAUUGACUGUGUAAUAAUUAUUGCUGACUGUGUAAAGUAAGCAAAAAAAAAGAUUUUUAAAAGCAAACCCCAAAAUUAAACAAUGAUUACAUGAUUAAAAAAAAUUUAAAACCAAAAAACAACCAAAAAUUAGUUUAUGGUUGUUUUUAAUGAAUCAAAGAGAUUGAAAAAUAGAAAAUCGAAAAUUGGGGUUUAGAAACCAAAGACUUAACUUCUUUUGAGAUAAAACCAAUUUUAUUUUAUUUUAAUUAUUAAUUUUUUUAUAAGAAAAAAUAUUUCUUAAUAUUAAAAAUAUCCUGUCAGCAAAAAAAUAACGGCAGUUGGAUUUCAGUUGACGGCAUUGCAUAAAUUGGGAAAACAUAAAAGUUUGCUGAUGAUUUUAAACCUAAUUUACUUGGUUGCAUAAGUUGGGAAUUCGACCCUACUUUGCUGCAUAACUCGACAGUUUAGCCAUAAAGAUUCUUCUUUUAAGCAUUAUUUCUUCGAAAACUUCUCACAGCAAUACAGUUGAUACAAAGAGGACUAUGAAUGCCACAUUUGUCUGCUCUUUGUAAUACCACGGGGGAGACUAUAGAGUGCAGACCUCUUCAGUGUAGCUUUGCAAGAAAGAUCUGGAAAAAAUUUUCAAGACAACUGGAGUUUACUUCAAAAUGUGCAAAAAGUGAAGAAAUGGAUUGCCAGCAGGUAUAAUCAAUUACGAGGUCAUCUGGUAAUUUUAUUAGGUCUCUUAAAUACUUUGUGAGGUGAGGAACCCAUCCCAUUGUCAGAAACGCACGAGCCGUUAUAUACAGAGAAAGAGUUACAGGAAAAGGCUACAUACCAGAUCAUCAUUAAAAUGUAGUGUGGAAAACAUCCGCAAGGUAUUCCACUGCAAUGUCCUUUCCAUUCAUGUAGCUGUCCAAUACCACAACUGGGUUUGAUCUUCAACAAGGACUUUGAAUAAUCGAAGUGCAUAUUUAGUAAAGCCCCUUCCCCAUGCAAUCCAAAUUCUGUCAUAUUCAUAGUUCUCAGUGCGCCCUAAAUCUAGCAAAAGACAUGUAGGAUUUACAUAUUAGAUGACUGCCUAUAAGCAUCCACGUCCCUAGAAACUAUAGGAUAUUGAAUAACAGAAGUAAAUACUCAACUGCAUAAAAGGUCCAUGUUUUCACUUUCGGUCUUUCAAUACUAAUGCUAUGCCAAAUAACAGGCAUACUCUGUUGUAAAACAGGUCCAUACAUUCCUUCAGUCCUGGAUAAUUAAUUGUCCCAAUUUUAUAGCAUACUUGAGGUUAUUGUGCAGCAUGGUUGUAAAGGGGAAUUGAGGAAGUAACAGACCUGUAGCAAUUUGUAGAAAAAUGCGGCUAGUAAAAUAUAGAAAACAAUGUAUGAAGACCAAAAGAAAACAAUCCACUUAAAAGUUUAAACCAAUAAAGUCCAACACUGAAUUAUCACCUGACAGAAUAACCCAUGAUAACAUUAGCCAUUCCAAUGCUCUCAUCUUUCCACAAUAUUCGACAUCGCUAUCACCCAUGACAUUUCUGCCCCCAACCAAAUUAAAGUCAA
rnacentral:lncRNA from 1 species